GCCGUUGUGAAGGCUGUAAGUUAGAUAACUCAUUGGGUUAAUUACGUUACCUUCGUUAAAUAAAGAAUGUUGUAUUGUAUUGUAUUCUUGUGCACAAUCACAAUAUC